UCGUAACAAGGUCUCCGUUGGUGAACCAGCGGAGGGAUCAUUACCGAGUUUUCAACUCCCAAACCCUUUUGUGAACAUACCUAUCGUUGCUUCGGCGGACUCGCCCCAGCGUCCGGCCGGCCCCGCGCCGGCCGCGGCCUGGAUCCAGGCGGCCGCCGGAGACCCCCAAACUCUGUAUUCUCAGUAUCUUCUGAAUCCGCCGCAAGGCAAAACAAAUGAAUCAAAACUUUCAACAACGGAUCUCUUGGUUCUGGCAUCGAUGAAGAACGCAGCGAAAUGCGAUAAGUAAUGUGAAUUGCAGAAUUCAGUGAAUCAUCGAAUCUUUGAACGCACAUUGCGCCCGCCAGCAUUCUGGCGGGCAUGCCUGUUCGAGCGUCAUUUCAACCCUCGACUUCCCUUUGGGGAAAUCGGCGUUGGGGACCGGCCGUAUACCGCCGGCCCCGAAAUGAAGUGGCGGCCCGUCCGCGGCGACCUCUGCGUAGUAAUCCAACUCGCACCGGAACCCCGACGUGGCCACGCCGUAAAACCCCCGACUUCUGAACGUUGACCUCGGAUCAGGUAGGAAUACCCGCUGAACUUAAGCAUAUCAAUAA
rnacentral:misc_RNA from 1 species